GCCACCUGUGCACAUUUCGGGAGGGUCUCUGAGUUUGAUUGCCUGGUGACGGCCGCACCAGGUUUUCUGCUGGGGGGUUCCCUUCCUCUCCUUAUAUACACUGGUUCAAUAAUAUCGAACGUGAUCGUGCCGCAAGGCAUUUGUUGCAAUACAACUUUUAACAACGGAUCUCUUGGCUCUCGCAUCGAUGAAGAACGCAGCGAAAUGCGAUAAGUAAUGUGAAUUGCAGAAUUCAGUGAAUCAUCGAAUCUUUGAACGCACCUUGCGCUCCCUGGUAUUCCGGGGAGCACGCCUGUUCGAGUGUCGUGAAAUCCUCAAGCUUUGGGUGCUUUUUUCAUCCUAAGCUUGGUAAUUGGGCUCUGCUGUUUCUUUCAUUGGGAACAGCUGGCCUUAAAAUCAUUAGCUGAUCCUCAUGUUGUGGUGUUGGUUUUACUCAGCGUGAUAAUAAAUCUGACCGCUGGGGAUACAUCUUCCGGGGAUGGCCAAUUCUCAUCUUGGGUUGCUUCUAAUUUGGCUUUUACGCAUGUGUUCUGUUUUGA
rnacentral:rRNA from 1 species